UCGUCCUACGGGGGGCAGCAGUGGGGGAUAUUGCACAAUGGGGGGAACCCUGAUGCAGCGACGCCGCGUGAGUGAAGAAGUAUUUCGGUAUGUAAAGCUCUAUCAGCAGGGAAGAAGAAAGACGGUACCUGAGUAAGAAGCCCCGGCUAACUACGUGCCAGCAGCCGCGGUAAUACGUAGGGGGCAAGCGUUAUCCGGAUUUACUGGGUGUAAAGGGGGCGUAGACGGCAGCGCAAGUCUGGAGUGAAAUGCCGGGGCCCAACCCCGGAACUGCUUUGGAAACUGUGCGGCUCGAGUGCGGGAGG
rnacentral:rRNA from 1 species